AAUUAUUUCAAGUAUAUCAUGUCAAGAGGAGCAAUACAAACAUAGUACAGCUACCUAAGAAAGAAGUAACUCGAGAACAUACUACAAAUCUCUUCUGGGGUGAGAGAACUGGCCAUCUACAGAGACACGGAAGAUGCCUAGAUAUGUUAAUGGGAGGAUUCUCUCAUAUCACUGCAAGCUAGAGCUGACAGAUGGAAGCUCACCCCAUCUCGUGGAUUCAAACUGGCAACCUUCAGGUCAGCAACCCAACCUUCAGGUCAGCGGUUCACAAGGGUUUAUUCCAUUGUGCCCUCGCGGCUCCUUUGUUCAGUUAACUGCACACAAGUAUUCUAUUCAGGUACUAAGAACUUUUAACUCCCACCCAGAGUUCACUCUCUCCCCAGUGUCAGAUACCACUACAGAACAAGGAUCUGCAGAGCUACUUUUUCUGUGUUGUUAUGAAUUGUAAACGAAAGAGAAAAAACAUUAACAUGCCAAAGAACUUUUUACACAUUUGGGGUUUUUUGGGGAUUCUAACUUAUGUUUACCACCGAGCUACUGCAAGAAAGAAAAAGAAAGACAACGAACCAGCAAAUGAAUGAAAAAACCAUAAUGAAUUAGUAAUGUGUAUCAUACAACAUACAUCACAUGCCUAACAUGCCAUUAUUGCUGAGCACAGUCUGUAUUUUACUAGAAAAUAAAGAAAAGAAUGUAAAUAUUGA